UGGGGAAUAUUGGACAAUGGGCGAAAGCCUGAUCCAGCCAUGCCGCGUGUGUGAAGAAGGUCUUCGGAUUGUAAAGCACUUUAAGUUGGGAGGAAGGGCAGUAAGCGAAUACCUUGCUGUUUUGACGUUACCGACAGCAUAAGCACCGGCUAACUCUGUGCCAGCAGCCGCGGUAAUACAGAGGGUGCAAGCGUUAAUCGGAAUUACUGGGCGUAAAGCGCGCGUAGGUGGUUCGUUAAGUUGAAUGUGAAAGCCCCGGGCUCAACCUGGGAACUGCAUCCAAAACUGGCGAGCUAGAGUAGGGCAGAGGGUGGUGGAAUUUCCUGUGUAGCGGUGAAAUGCGUAGAUAUAGGAAAGAACACCAGUGGCGAAGGCGACCACCUGGGCUCAUACUAACAUUGAGGUGCGAAAGCGUGGGGAGCAAACAGG
rnacentral:rRNA from 1 species